rnacentral:lncRNA from 1 species
UAAAGAGGCAAGUAGAAUCAAUGAAAUAUUCUAUCUUCUCACACUCGCUCACCAUUUUCUUUACUGAAUUAUUGCAUGAUUGCCAUUUUGAUCUCUCCUUUAUUUGAUAGCAGGUGGGGUUCUUGUAUCAAUCUGUUCUUGAAGAUUACUUAACAGCAUUCACCAUGCACUGUCGAGGAUGGACUUCUGUCUAUUGUAAUCCAUCCAAGCCACAGUUCUUGGGUAGUGGCGUCACUAAUAUGAAUGAUUUGUUGGUCCAAGGCACAAGAUGGAGCUCUGGGUUGUUUGAUGUUGCCAUCUCAAAGUUCUCGCCGCUCAUAUAUGGGCCAUUGAGAAUGUCUAUCCUUGAGAGUUUUUGUUAUGCCUACCUUGCCUAUUUCCCACUCUAUUUUAUAUCAGUCUGGUGUUUUGGCAUCAUCCCUCAGCUGUGUCUACUUAAUGGCAUCCCUUUGUACCCUAAGGUAACAAUAGAAUAUGCAUUCUUUUCAAUUCCGUUUUCUUUUCAAAAACAGGACCAUCUAUAUUUACUCCACCAUGCAAAUCAAUGAGAACAAUUGAUUUGUAGGUUAGUAAUUAAUUUAUAUCAUCUUUUUCAUAUAAAUUGAUAAGAUUUUACUUGGAAGAUUUGGAAGAUUUUUAUUCUCUAACGUUCAGUACUUGUCUUGUGCCACAGGUUUCAGACUCAUUUUUCAUGAUAUUUGCUUUCAUUUUUGUAUCAUCUCUUUCUAAACAUUUGUACGAGGUGCUAUUCACGGGAGGAUCAUUCCAGACAUGGAUGAAUGAACAAAGGAAUUGGAUGAUAAAGUCGUUAACAUGUCAUCUUUAUGGAAGUAUGGAUGCUAUUAUGAAGAAGAUUGGUAUGAGAGAAGCCAGUUUCUUAACCACAAAUAAAGUUGUGGAUAAUGAACAAGAAAAGCUAUACCAAAUGGGUAAAUUUGAUUUUCGAACCUCUACUGCGAUACUUGCUCCAGUGGUCAUCCUAGUCAUCUCGAACAUGGCUGCAUUCAUGGUGGGUCUUGCUAGAGUAAUUGCAGCAGGCAAUUGGGACAAAAUGUUUGUACAAGUUGUCCUCUCAUUUUACAUCCUAAUUAUGAGUUACCCUAUAGUUGAAGGGAUGAUACUGCGAAAGGACAAGGGUCGCGUUCCACCUUCUAUCACUCUAUUAUCUACUGUCCUUGCCAUGGUUUUAUUGACUUUAGGGUCCACUGCUCUAAUGUAUUAAGUUAUAUGCAGAACUCGACCCAGUCUGCAUUUCCAUUAGUAUAGUUCCUUGAUGCAAAUAUGCAGAUUCAUUAUUUGUACUGAUGGAAAAAGCACAUAUAGUGCUGUUCCAUGUGAUAAAUGCAACACUUUCUAAUUUGUUAGAAUGGACUUAGAAGAGAAUGUUUCUCCCAAAAACUGUUUCUCCCAUUUCUCAUUUUGUUGGGUUGAGUCGUAUCAAAUCACUUGGGCACCAAACCCAACUUCAACAUCUCCCAUUUCUAAUUUGUGUUGGUUUUUAAAUUAUUUAUCAAUUUUUGAGGUUUUAAAUUUUUGAGUUUCUAAAGCAAUAAGUUGAUUUUGAAGGCUUUGAAAAUAUUGGGUUAGGGCUGAAACGGUUUUUCCAUAUGCAUAUUAUAGGUUUUGAUUAAGAAAAUCUUAUAGUUUUAAAGACCAAAAAUUAUUUAUAAUAACAUUGUGUUCUUAAAAAGGAUUCACGUAUUGUAUGUGUUUUUCUUAAGAAUGUACACGUGUGAGCUUAAAAGUCAAUCAUGGAUAUGAGAAAAACCUCAAAUCCAUUCUCAUGGUUCCACAAAUAAGCACCUAGACCCUAAUAAGACCGAAUAAGAUCUCAGUUGAUAUUAAAAAAAAAAUGUAUGUGUAGACCCCCCCGAGGAGCAGGAAAAGUUCUCUUUGAUGAUGAUUUUUUGCUGCUUUUCUGACGGCUCUCAAGUGGGCUGCUCUCGGGGUCGGCGAGAUGGGAUGGGUAGCAGAGAGCAAGGAGGGGCUUGUUGAGGAAGACACCAACGGAGGAGAAAAAAGGGAGAAAAGGUGGAGGAUAUCUGCAGGGGGGAAGAAUGAGAAAGGAAGGACGGGCAGGCUUUGGGGAUCACAUUUCUAUUAGAAAGGGGAGCUCUCUCAGGUGCGGGUUUCAUGAGUUUUCGAUCCAUGUCUUCUGACCACAUCGUGUCUCAUGCAUUUUUCUGGUGGUUUAGAUUUCAUCCAAUGUUGGGAUGCAUUUUGCUUUGCUAUACUCUCAUUUGUUUUUUUCUAUUAUUUCAUCUCUGUUUUUGCUUUGAUAUCAUUUGAGAAUAUCCAUUCAAGGGUACACACUUUGCAAUGUAAGAAAUCUUGCAAAGAGAAGAGCUUAAGAGCUCCAUAUGCACACUAACAGCAUUAAAAGUGGAGAUCCUUUCAAUAUAUUGGAUAAGAAACGGCACACAGCAAUCAUGCAUGGCCAUCCUCGCUGUUCUCAUACCUUGAAACAUUCACACCCAUUAAAACCGUCCUCUACCCUUCUAUCACUCAUACCCAUUAAACCCAUUUUCUCUCACUACCUCUCUUGUUCAUCCCUACCAUGCCUGCAUAGCCACCAUUCCUCAUUCCCCUCGCACCUCAAGUCCGUCAAGCCCACCCUUCUCUCAUCUCUAUCGUUUCUUUGCACGUGCAUGGAGUCCCCUGCACAUAGCUACCCCGCCACCUCCCGCAUGCAUGAAGCCCUUGUAGCCGAGGAGAAGAAGGAGCACGUGGAUGCGUCGGGAAGGGGACGCGCGUCAGCUUCCGUUCUCUGGCAGCUUUUCCGACAUGGUGGCGUCGCCGCUGCCGCCGCGGUGAGGUGGCUGUCGGUGCUGAAGCCAGGCGCAGGGGAGAGGAAGCUGGGAAGAGGAUGAAGUUGGUUUUUUGGGCUUGACUAGGUUUGGGCUUGAGGGUUGUUGGUGGAUUUGGGCUUGCCCAUGGUGUUGGGUUUGGGUUUAAGUGGGAGCCUAGCCCAAGCAAGCUGAUGGAAGUCAAUGUCUUCUCAAUAAAUGGGUUGUGACGGUGAUGGGCUUGGGCUUGGGCUUUGCUGAUGGACUUGGACUAGACCAGGGUUGCUAGGGUGAUUUUAUUAUUAUUAUGGGCUUUGGGCUUGAUGGAUGCAUGUUAUCAUUUGUUAUUAUUAUUAUUAAUUAUUGUUAUCAUUGUUAUUAUUAUUAUUAUUAUGGUUAUUAUUAUUGUUAUUAUUAUUAUUAUUAUUAUUAAUUAUUAUUAUCAUUGUCAUUAUUAUUAUUAUUAUUGUCAUUAUUAUUAUUAUUAUAAUUAUUAUUAACCAUUAUUAUCAUUGUCAUUAUCAUUAUUAUUAAUUGUUAUUAUCAUUGUUAUUAUUAUUAUUGUUAUUAACAUUGUUAUCAUUGUUACUAUUAUUACUAUUGUUAUUAUCAUUAUUCUUGUCAUUAUUAUUAUUAUUAUCACUAUGAUUAUUAUUAAUUCAACUCUCAAAAUCUUAUUACUAUUAUUAUUACCUCAACUUUCAAAAUCUAUUUAUUCUUAUUAUCAUGAAUCCAAACUUUCAAAAUCCUACUAUUAUUAUUACUAACUCAACUUUCACAAAUCUCAUUACUAUUAUUAUUAUUAACUCAACUUUCAGAAUCUCAUUAUUAUCAUCAUUAUUAUUUCACACUUUCAACAUCUAUUUAUUAUUAUUAUUAUUAUCAUCAUUAAUCCAAACUUCCAAAAAAAUCUCAUUAUUAUUAUUAUUAUAAACUCAACUUUCAAAGUCUAUUUAUUAUUAUUAUUAUCAUCAUCAAGCCAAACUUCCAAAAAUCUCAUUAUUAUUAUUAUUAUUAAUUCAACUUUCAACAUCUAUUUAUUAUUAUUAUUAUCAUCAUUAAUCCAAACUUUCAAAAAUCUCAUUAUUAUUGUUAUUAUUACCUCAACUUUCAAAAAUCUCAUUAUUAUUAUUAUUAUUGACUCAACUUUCAAAACCUUAUUAUUAUUAUUAUUAUUAUUAAUUCAAACUUUCAAAACCUUAUUAUUAUUAUUAAUUCAAACUUUCUAACUUCCAAUUUCCAAGCCCAAUUUAUAAAAAUUCAACCUUCAAAUAAUAUUUCAAAAUUCCGAUCUUUAAAAUUCAAUUCCAAUUUCCGAAAAUUCUCAUACUCACUUUAAUCUAUUUAAUUAUUAUUAUUUUAUGUAUUAUAAAAUUCCACUUUAAACAAUUCUUUAAAAUUUCCGACUUUCAAAUUUAAUUUCUAAUUCCAAAAUUCCAAUAUUCACAUUAAUCUAUUUAAUUAUUGUUAUUUUGAUUAUUUAUUUCAAAACUCCAUUUUAAAUCAAAUUCUCUAAAACUUCUAAUUUCCGAAUUAAAUUCUUAAUCCCAAAAAUUCUCAUGUUCCCACUAAAUUAUUUGAUCAUUAGUAUUUUAUUUAUUUAUUUAUUUCAAAACUCCAUUUUAAAUCAAAUUCUUUAAAAUCGCUGAUUUCCAAAUUAAAUUCCUAAUCCCGAAAAUUCUCAUAUUCUCAUUAAUUUAUUUAAUCAUUAGUAUUUUAUCUCCCUUUUAAAUCAAUUCUUUAAAACUUCAGAUUUACAAAUUAAAUUCCUAAUCUUGAAAAUUCCCAUAUUCACAUUAAUUUAAUCACUAAUAGUUUGUUUAUUUAUCUUAAAAUUCUAUUUUAAACAAUUCUUUAAACUUUCUGACUUCUAAAUCUAAUUUCCAAUUUCAAAAAUUCCAACAUUCCCAUUCAUUUAUUUAAUCAUUAUUUUCGUCCUUAUUAUUAUUAGUCCAUUUAUUUAUUUCAAAAUUCCAUUUUUAAACAUUUUUUUGAAUCCCAAUUUUCGAACUUAAUUUCCGAUUUCUAAAAUUCUAAUUUCCUUCAAGUUUGACAUCCUAAAAUUCCAACUCUUAAAUUUAAUUCUCAAGACUCCAAUCUUCAAAUAAUUUUCGAGACUCCAAUUUCCAAAUAAAUCUCAAAAACCCAGUUUUUCUCUCGAACAGUUUUAAUUCCACUCCGAUUUUUAAAUAAUGUUCUAUUUCUUUUGAUUUUUACACAAGCAAAAAUGAUGAAUCUUCGUGAUUCCGAAAUAAUGGGAUUCGUGAGAUUAAUUCAUGCAAUAUAAAUCGGGCUUUGGCGGGGGCCCGACAUAUGCGAUUUCCUUAUGAUGGAUUGAUUGUUUGUUUGAUUUAAUUGCCAUGCAUGAUCGAUUUUAUUUUGUUCUAUGACAUGCUUCGAAAUUAUUCCUUAAUUGUACGCUAACCUCACUUCUUGAUAGCGCUUUAUAGAUCACUGUCCAGGUAUGCGUCCACACCCGCUUGGGUCAUUUUUUGUAUGCAUGUUUAGAUUCCCACAUGUACACGAUCACUCUGAGUAUUCAUUGAUUCCCUCAUCAAUUGCCAUUGACUGCUUCAUUUUAUUAGUAGAGACUCGACUUUAGGGACUUAGAGGGCUGCUAUGGUAUUUUACCGUACCUUCCCGAUAAGUAACCUGACCCCCGAGCCCGAUCCGGUUUUUCGUAGAUCACCUUUUCCAAAAUAAGGAGUCGCACUUAGGGUUUUUCUUUCUUAUUUUGUUUACCCUUUAAAAAUAAAACAAAAAUAAGUAGCGACUCCAAGUCAUUUUUUUAAUCAACAAAUCAAUUUUUCAAAUAAAAAUCAAGCUCGUCAUCUAGUGGGAAACGCAUGAGCCGAAAUACGGGGUCCACAAUGUGUUUUUCUUAACAAUGUACAUAUUCUUCUUAAGGAUAUAUGUGGGCUUGAAAAUAAAUCAUGGAGGUGGGGAGUGGGCUUAAACCUAUUAUCAAUGUUCCAAAAAUGAAUACUUAGGUCCUAAUAAUUAAGGUCAAAUGGGAUCGCCGUAGAAAAAUGUAAAUAUUUUUUGGAAGAAUGUAAUUGUCAAAAGUCAACUAUAGAGGUGGGAAAGCCUCAAACCCAUUCCCAAAAUUCCAAAAAUGAAUACUUAGACCCUAAUAAGGCUAAAUGAAGUCCUAAUCCACUUUAAAAAAAUGUAUGUAUUUUUUUUUAGGGAGAAUUGGGCUUUAGACCCAUUUGGUUUUGAUAAUUAAUAAAGAGUUCAUCAAAUACCCAUAAUUGAUUACAAGGAUAUGAGAUGAGAAUAGACAAAAAUACCCCAUUGACUCAUUUUUGUCUUUAUUCUACCAUCCUUCACAUAUCACUAUUCUUUCUUAUUUAACCAUUUUUAGAUUUUUCAUUAUUUUUUUAAACUCUUUUAUAAAUAAUUGAAAAAUCAACAUUAUUUUUUUAUUUUUAAAUUAUAAAUAAAAAAAUUAUAUUAAUGAUUCAAAGACUAUUUUGGAAAAUACUUUCUAAAAAAAUAUUAAUUUAAAUAAAUAAAAAUUACAUUUUACAUUUAUUUUUAUCUUUUAUAUUUUAGAAGUAAAUAAUUUAAUGAUUAAAAUACUAUUUAAAAUAAAUAUAUUCACUAUUUUAUUUUUUUAUAUUAAAAAUUAUUUUAAAGUUUUUUUUACUAUUAUAAAAUAAAAAAUUUAAUUUUUUUUAAUCUUCUUUCUUCCUUAUUUUAAUAACUUUUUUAACAUGACUUUUAGUAAUAAGUUAUAUGAAAUGUUACAAAUUUGUUUAUUAAGGAUUUAUUUUAAUGAUUUGAAUUAAUUGAAAAUUUAUUAAAAUAAGAAAAAGAAAAAUAAAGAAAGAGGAUGGAUGGAAAGUUUUUAUUUUAAGUACUCAAUUAAAAUGUUUUCAUAUGACCUAAUUUUAGAAGUGAAUUAUAUCAAUACAUAAUAGAGAUUGAAUUUUUCUUAUAUAAAAUGGUUGAAAGGUAUAUUUACUUAUUUUAGAUGAAAACAAGUAGUUAAAAAUUAUAUAGAUUAUAUUUGAGUUUGGUUUUAAAAUAUUUUUCUAGUUUUUAUUUUUUAUUUUUAAAAAUAAUUUUUAUUUUCUAUAUUGUCUAUUUUUGAAAAUAUUUUUAAUUAAAAAAUGAAAAGUAUUUUUUAAAAUGAAAAUUGAAAACCUUGUUUAGUACUAUUUUUUUAUAUGAAAAUAAAAAAAUAAUAAAUUUUAUUUAUUCAUUUAUUGCACCACUGUACAAUUAUAUUACACUAAUUGUACAAGGGAAAUAUACUAAGUGUACAAAGGUGUACAAGGCUACCAUUUGUGAAAUAUUAUAAUCGAUUAUAAGUCAUUCCUUUAUUUUUUUUAUCACUCAUGAAUUGUACACAUAUGUCAUGCACUUUAUUUAAUUUCCGCAUGGAAAUUCCAAUAUUUUUCCUAAUAAUAAUAUUUGGAGAAAAAAAAUUUUGACCUUAAAUCAUCUACCAUCUUCUCAACUAAAUAAUUGAAAAUAUGAUUAAACACUCCUACGUGAAUACAUAACUUAGGAGGGAUAUAAAAUUUGUGUCACUGUACAAGGGUAUUACACUGACGGGAAAUGUACUAAUUGUACAAAGGUGUACAAGAUUACCCUUUGUGAAUUAUUUUAAUCAAUUCUAAACCACUUUUUUAUUUUCCUUGUCACCUAAGGAUUGUACGCCUAUGUCAUGCAUUUUAUUUAACUCUCACAUGAAAAUUCUAAUAUUUUCCCUAAUAAUGAUAUUUGGGGAAAAAAAAAGUUGAUCCUAAGUCAUCCAUCAUUUUCUUAACCAAAGCAUUGAAAAUAUUAUUAAUACACGUACAUGAACAUAUAACUUAUGAGAAAUAUGAAAUUUGUGUCAUUGUACAAGGGUAUUACACUAACUGUACAAGGGAAAUGUGCUAAGUGUACAAGGGUGUACAAGGCUCCUAAUAGGUUUUGUACAAUUUUUAAAUAACUUUGAAUUUGACAUUAAGAUUAUUGAUAGUUCUUUUUUCUUUUUUUACCAAACUAUGUCAUUAAGACAUUCCUUACAAAAAUUAACACAUAAGAAAUAAAAUUAAAAUUAAUCAUAUUAGAAUUGUUCAUUAUAAGUAAACUAAAUGAAAUAUAUAUUUUUACUAUUUUGCCUUUAUAAACAUAAUUUCAUUAUUAUCAAUAGAGAUUUAAAAAAUCAUAUUUAAAUGGAAUUAUAAAUAAAUAAAAAUUAUUUUUAUAACAUUUUUAUUUUUUAAAAUCAUUAAUUUAAAUUAUGAAAUUUGUUUUAAAAUUAAAAAUAUUUGUUGUAAUUAUAGUUUUGAAGAUUUCAUGAUUUUUAUCAUAUUACUUUGAAAAAAUUGCUUUAAUAAGAAAGUAUUUAUUUAAUGGUUUUAAAUAUUUAAAUCUUUAUUCAAAAAUAUUUAGGAUUAGUGUGGAGAGCAAUUAGGUAAUUUUGGAAUGGAGAAAUUUUAAAUAUUUUUGAAGACUUUAAUUCGGCCUAUUACCCUAUUUACACUUUCAAAAUUAUUGGAAGGUUGGUAAAUUAGUCUUAAAAAUAUUGUCUUCUUGAUUAAUAUUAUAUAUAUGCAUGUGAGUGUUUACAUAAUUUUUGAAAAAAUAAUAAACACCAUGUGUCUAAUUUGCAAGUUAGAAAAAAAAAUUAAUAAUAUUUUAUGAGGUAUUUAAAAAGUAUUUAUUAUAUGUUCUAUAAAUUUAAAAAAAAAAUAUAAUAUUUGAUGAUAUCUAAUUUACAAGUUGGAGUAAACAAAUAAUACAAAUAUUUUAUGAGGUGUUUAAAAAUUAUUUAAUAUAUAUGAGAAAUAAUAUAAGUUUAAAAUAAAGAAUGAUAUUUAUUAUAUAUUAUAUAAGUUUUCAAUAUAUUUAAAAAAUAUUUAUUAUAUAUUAUGUAAGUUUGAAAAAAAAAAAAAUAUUUGAUGAGGUAUUUAAAAGUUAUUCACUUCAAAAAUGUAUUUGAUAAUAAUAAUUUUUAACCAUCUUUCAUAUUUGAGGAAGAAAAAUAAUUCAAGUUGAUUCUACUAUUAAAUAGGUGAGAGAAGGGCAAAAGAGUCAAAUAGAGAAUGAGAAAGGUGAGGUGAGUGAUUACUUUUUUCAUUUAAUAGUCAAGGGUGUUUUAGGGAUUUUUUAAAAACAAUAUCCUUACUCUCAAUUUCUACUCUUUUAUUGGGUGUUGGGCUUAAAUAUGAAACUUAUAUGGACCAUACAUUAAUUUUUGGGCCCAGCUGGGCCCAAAACACAAUUUUCCCUUUUUUUUAAAUGUCUGUAUUUAAAAAAAAAAUGAAUGUAACUUUUUAGGGUAUGUGAGCUUAGAAAUCAACCAUGAAAGUAUUUUUCUUAGAAAUAUACAUAUAUAUUUUUUUCAAUCAAGUACUAAUUACUUUAUUUGUUUUUUUAAAGGGUUUAUUUGUACCAUAGAUUCCAAAUUUAUUUUCUCAAAAUAUUUUUUAUCACUUUAAUAUUUUAUUUUAUUGUAACACAGUAAAACAAAAAUGUGUAUUAAUUGUUUUAUUUUUAUUACCUUGAAAUGUAUGGUUAUAGUUUGUGAUACAAAAGCCAAAAGUUUUAAAAAAUUCUAUCCUUUUUUUUCUUCUUUUUUUGUUUUUAAAUAAUGUGUGCAUAGUUGCACCUAAAAUUGUCAUUGGCGGAUGUAGUUUUACGACGUAUCCUUAAAAUCAUAAUAAAAAAUAUCCUUAAAGUCAUAGUUAUUGAUUAUAUAUAGUUUUACAAUAUAUUAUUAAAAUUAAAAUCAUCAAUUGUGAUUUUGCAACAUAUCCUUAAAACAUAUAAAACCACAACGGAUGGCUAUGAUUUUAAGGAUAUUUUUAAAGUCAUGGUCAUCAAUUAUGAUUUUAAUUAUAUAUAACACCUCGAUGAUUAUGUGAUUGCAAAUAACUAGUUUGGUAAAUGUUUUGAGGAAAUUGGUUUGAUUUGGUUUUUGUGAAUCAAUUUUGACUUAACUUCAUGAUCAUUUUUAGUUCUGAGUUAGCUAUAGAUUUGUGUUUAUUUUGAACCAAAAACCUAUUAAUUUGAGUUUAUAUUAGAUCUUAAGUUUAAUUUGUUUUUAAGAUUAAUUAAAAUCAAUAUGGAUUUACUGUUAAAAAAUAUUGAAUAUAUUUAUAAUUAAUUUGAUUAUAAUAUAAAUUACUUUAAUAGAAUUUAAUAUAAAUUUUUUUAUCAAAUAUCAACAAUUAUAUAUAAAUUUUAAAAUAUCGGUUAUGUUUAGUUUUUAUCGGUUGAGAGACAAGAAAAUAAAAAAUUAAACUAACAAGGUUGAUUUUUAAAAUUUUAAAAUUGAAUCAAUCCUUUUUUUUUUUAUAUAUAUUGAAAACCGAACCAUUAUAAUCAAUUUUGAUUGAUUGCGAUUAAUUUAUCAUUUUUUAUUUUUUUAUAUUUUGCUUACACCCCAAUCAUGGUCCUCGAGGUAACAACACUCUAGCCGGCCUCUUAGCCUAUUUAUUUUAAAACAAAUUCAUUAUCAUUCUUACCCCCCGUUCUUUCAUGUUAUUCCUUUACAUGAAAUUCCUCUUCAUAAAAUUAUUUGCCUAAAGUCUUCUAUAAAUCCAUAUAAUUGCUUCAUGUGAUGGAACAUGUGUGGCUGCCAAACAAAUGAUUAGGCUCAAGUCUUAUCAUGUUUGGUAGGGAUGGCAACGAGGCGGGUUUUUUUGGGUACCCAUCCCGUCCCGCCCCUAAUGGGACGGAGUUUAAAUUUAAUAAAUAAGUUUGGGACUUGUAUUAGAUUUUUUUUUUUAAACGUGUGACGGAUUCGGGUAUUGCCCCAUCUAGCCCCGUUUACAUAUAAAAUUAAAUUUAAAAUUAAAUUAAAUUUAAAAUUUAAAAUUAAUAAAAUAAGUUAUAAACAAUAUAAUAAUUUUAUUAUUUAUAAAAUAUAUUUAUUUUAAUGUAAUUAAAAAUUUUAAAAAUAUUUUUUUUUAAAAAAAAAAAGCUAAAUGAGGCGGGAAUGAGAAUUGUUUUUAAUAAACGGGGCGGGGUUAGGAUAGGGGCAACUCAUCCCGAACCCGACCCAUUGCAAUUCCUAAUGUUUGGUCAUUGAAAAUACGAAGAAGGAAAUCAAAGAAAAUUAUGCACCGACAAAAUGGGUUUGGUUUUUAAUAUCAGAAAAUAAUUUCAAAAUUAUUUCAUUGCUUUUAUUUUCAUUAUGUAAAAUAAUACUUUUCAAGAAACAAUUCUACUUUUGAUCUUGCAAACCCCCUUGGGAAAUAAGAGAAAAUUGUGUUUCCAUACACUUAUAUAAAAAAAAAAAAAACAUAAUCUAAGUUUAUAAAAUACAAAUUUAAAAUAAUUAUUUAAAAAUAAUUAAUAAGUAUUAUUUUGGAGUGAGUGUAUGAAACUUAAAUUGUUUUUAAAGAAUUUUUAUUUUAUAAUUAAUUUUACAUAUGAGUAUAUAAAAACUCACUUUUUUCGAGGAAAAACACGACAACUAUGAGGAUAGCUGCUAUAUACUAUGUCUCAGAAUCCUGCUUUUUUUAAAAAUAAUUUUAAUUUUCAUUCACGAAAAAUAACUUCAGCUUUACUGUUUCUUAAAAAUGCUUUCCUCUUUAGGUGCUCCAAGUGAGCCUCAUUCUGAUCCAUUCCAUCAUUCUCAAAUUAAAUAGAAUUUUGUUUUAUACCGUGAAGCAAAUACCGUCUUCAAAAACUCCAAAACUAUUGUUUAAAACUAUUUUUAGAAGAAACUCUUGAACUAAGAAGAUCAUUCAAACACGCAACAAGCAAAAACAAAUGGAAGAAGCCACCGCCAUUAACGUCUAUAUCCGGACCUAACCCGAAUACAUGGCUGAGCAAGGAUGUGGUGUAUAUCAGAUAAUGCCAAAUUUAGUACCAUAGUAGAAGACGCAACUAGCGACCAAGUCCGUGCACGGUGCACCCUCAGUUCUGACAAUGCAUUAAUAGUGAAGUUAAUGCUGCAGUGGGAGGUCAUUUGCACCGGUCCAGCCUAACCCUGGGCCAUACUCUCAUCAAUCAUGUUCACAACUUUCCAUUUUCCAGGUAGUUCCAAGCGAACCCAACUCAAGAACUGAAACUGAAAUUUUGGGUUAGUGUCAUUCGUGUCGUCCCAUAAAGCAAUGAAUAAUGAAAAUUUAAUGCACCCAAAUACAUCGUCUUGAAAUCAUCCAUUUAUCAUUAGCAUGUAUUUAAUGCCACUUUAAAUAUAGAUACUUUAUUAAAUUCAUCAACUUUUUUAAUUAUUUAAAAUUUAAAUUUGAUACUAAUUUCUUUUUAUUUUUUAAAAUUAUAAUUAAUUUUAAUUAUAAUACAUUUAUAAUUUAGAAAAUAAAUUAAAAUUUUAAUUUUACUCUUGUUUUUAUUUUUAAUUAAUACUUUAAAUUUUUUAUAUAAAAUUUUAUUACAUAUAAAAGCGACUAUAUCAAUUCAUUUUAUUUUUUACUUAAAAAUCAGUCGAGUGAAACUUAUUUACACCUCCAUUUAUGAUAUUUGUAAUUGUAAUUUAAAAGAAUUUUUUAUUUUUAUAUAUUUUAAAUAUAAACACACACAUAUAUAUAUAGUCAGCUAACCUAUCUUUAUUCCAUGAAGUCUGAUGUUGGCUUACAACCAUCAAUCCUCUAUCUGAAUUUAUAGCAUUUUGGUCCAAAACUAAGAGUCUAUUAUAGAUUCUUCCUUUUGUAAAAUGAAGAGGCAUCUCAUGUGUUAAAGAGACCGGGUCCUCGAGCGGCUGCUCACUGCCAUGUGAAGGCAUGUCUUCUCCAACCAGUCAGCUAACCUAUCUUUAUUCCAUGAAGUCUGAUGUUGGCUUACAACCAUCAAUCCUCUAUCUGAAUUUAUAGCAUUUUGGUCCAAAACUAAGAGUCUAUUAUAGAUUCUUCCUUUUGUAAAAUGAAGAGGCAUCUCAUGUGUUAAAGAGACCGGGUCAUCGAGCAAGAAGAAAGAAGCAAUGGAAGGCUCACUCCCUCGCCAUCUUUGCCAUGUCCAAAAAUCAUCUGCCAUCAUCAACAGAUUCCAUGCUCUUAUUCAUUCCACAGCUUUAAUUGCUCUGAUCUACUACAGAGCUUCUUUUCUCCUCCAAAACACUGAUACUAUAUCAGGACACACGCCUAUCAUACCAUGGCUUCUGGUCUUUGCUGGUGAGCUGGUUCUCUCCUUUAUAUGGCUUCUCGAGCAAGCUUUUCGUUGGAGGCCCGUUACUCGCUCCGUCUUCCCAGAAAGACUACCAGAAGAUAAACAACUGCCGCCUAUUGACGUGUUCAUAUGCACUGUGGAUCCAAAGAAGGAACCUACUUUGGAGGUUAUGAACACUGUAAUAUCAGCCAUGGCAUUAGAUUAUCGCCCGGAGAAGCUUCAUGUGUAUGUUUCGGAUGAUGGAGGUUCUUCUCUAACGCUGUAUGGCAUGAAAGAGGCGUGGGAGUUUGCAAGGUCGUGGGUGCCCUUCUGCAGGACCCAUGGUAUCAAAACCCCGUGUCCUAAGGCUUAUUUUUCGUCACUGGAGGACGGAGAUGGUUCUGAGUUCCUAGGAACCGAGUUCAUGGCAGAGAGGCGCAGAGUUCAGGUUUGUGUCACCUUUUUAUCCUCUCUGAUACACAUCUUUGGAGAUGCUACACUAGCUACCAUUUCUGUAGGUUUGUUGGUCAGAUCAAAUGAAGAUAAGAAUCCAAUAUCGUUAUGGCUGUUGUUAAAACAUAAUUUAAGGUGUCCUUGAUUACAUUUUUAAUUUUUUUAAAAAUAAGAAUUUUUAUACAAAAUUUAAAAAUUCUUACAUAAAGUUAGGAAUUUAUUUUAUAAUCUUAAAUUUAAAAAAAUAAAAUUGAAAAUGAAAAUAUUUUUAAUUCCCAAAAUUUUAAAUUAUUAAACAUUUUUCAUUUUUACCCUUUAAAAAUAAGAAUUUUUAUCGAUGUUUUAAAAAUUGAAUCGAAAAAGUUAUUGAUUCACGAUUUAGAUCGGUCUUGAACCCGCAUUACAUUACAAAAAGUUCAUUUCUUGUAAUUUAGUCUUUAUGGCAUUACAUUACAAAAAGUUAGGAUUUUUUUUAUUUUUUAUUUUUAUUGCUUAACAAAAGUUGCCAAAGUGUCUUUUAAUUUGGUAGAAUGAGAGAACUUAGCAAUAUUACCCCUUUAAAAUUAUAUACUAUAUUCAUAUCCAAUAUUUAAUAAAAGCUAAAAUCAAGAAGCUAUUCUCCACACAUUCCAUAUUAGUUAACUUUGAAGUGAGAAGCUUUUUAGAAUCAUGCAUAUGCUUUAAAAAGUUUUAAAUUGACUCAAAGGUUUUGCUUUUCAUUUAAGCCAAACCAAAAAGGAUCCCAUCUAGAAAAACCAAAAAAUGUUCAAACGAAAAAACAAGACACUUAAAUCAUUUAGGAAAUCUACCUACCAUGGUGCAGAUCGAAUACGAAAAUUUUAAAGCUCGCUUUAGGACAGCUAGUCAAGAGGGUGGAAUCAGAAAUGAAAGCAUGAGCAGCCCUAGAGAUCAUCCUGCAGGCGUCGAGGUACUCAUGAUUGUCUUACUUACAGUGCUCCUUAAUUUGAAUUGAACUGUGCAGUUGCCUUUAGUAAUCUUAUUGAGGUGACUGACUACAAAGAAUUGAUUUAGUAUUGGUUUGAAUGCACGUUUCUGUUUUUUAUUUUUAAAAUCGGAAGCUUUUGUAUAAGGGUAGAAUAUCUAAACUAGUGGAUAUUUGAUAAUUGAGGUUUGAUGGCUUGGUUAUGGGCGCAAAAAAAUAUGUUUUUCAGGUGAUUGGUGCAGACCAGGUUGAGAUGCCUCUGCUUGUUUAUGUUUCUCGUGAGAAAAGACCUUCUCAUCCGCAUCAUUUCAAGGCUGGAGCUCUCAACGUUCUUGUAUUUCUCCCUCUCUCUCCUCUCUCUCAUUCAGUCACAAAUAUACAUGCAAAUAUACACCAAAUGACUUAUCCCACCAAACUGUUAUUGCAGCUCCGGGUCUCCGGCCUUAUAAGCAAUUCUCCCUACAUACUAAUAUUGGAUUGUGACAUGUAUUGCAAUGAUCCAACCUCUGCCCAGAAAGCAAUGUGUUUUCAUCUUGAUCCAAAGAUCUCACCCACACUGGCUUUUGUGCAAUUCCCUCAGAGAUUCCACAACAUUAGUAAAAAUGAUAUCUAUGACAGUGGAGUAAGGUCGGCAUUCUCGGUAUGAAAAUGAAGUUUUGGCGCUUUCUUUUAUCUUAUAUCCCAAGGCAUUCAAUAGUUGCAGUGAAACAAAACUUCAUACUAAUGUAUUGUCGAAUAUUUUAAUAUAUACCAUUCAGAUAUUAUUGGAAGGAUUGGAUGGGCUACAAGGUCCAAUCUUGUGUGGCACCUGCUUUUACAUAAAGAGAGUGGCCUUUUAUGGAAGUUUCAUACAAGAUGGUAAUUUAAUUUUCUUGCUGAACAGAAUGCUCUUCUUUUCCCCUGUUUCUUUGCUUUUUGUUGGUGGUGGGGAUGGGGGGGUGGGGAACUAUAUACAAGAAGGUUAACUAAUAUAUGAUUGACUGGUACGAUAUUUCACAUAAAUUCUGCAGAUAUUGAUAUCUUGAAACUUAGAGAAUCUUUUGGUCCUUCUAACGAGUUCAUCAGAUCCCUUGGCCAAAACUACAAGCCUAGUGUGAGCAAGGAUGGGAACAGCUUGAGUACAAUACAGCUACAAGAGACCCAACUCUUAGCUUCUUGCUCUUACGAAAAUCAGACAAAGUGGGGUAAAGAGGCAAGUAAAAUCAAUGAAAUAUUCUAUCUUCUUACACUCGCUCACCAUUUUUCUUUACUGAAUUAUUGCAUGAUUGCCAUUUUGAUAUCUCUCCUUUAUUUGAUAGCAGGUAGGGUUCUUGUAUCAAUCAGUUGUUGAAGAUUACUUAACAGGAUUCAUCAUGCACUGUCGAGGAUGGACUUCUGUCUAUUGUAAUCCAUCCAAGCCACAGUUCUUGGGUAGUGGCGUAACCAAUAUGAAUGAUAUGUUGGUCCAAGGCACAAGAUGGAGCUCUGGGUUGUUUGAUGUUGCCAUCUCAAAGUUCUCGCCGCUCAUAUAUGGGCCAUUGAGAAUGUCUAUCCUUGAGAGUUUUUGUUAUGCCUACCUUGCCUAUUUCCCACUCUAUUUUAUAUCAGUCUGGUGUUUUGGCAUCAUCCCUCAGCUGUGUCUACUUAAUGGCAUCCCUUUGUACCCUAAGGUAACAAUAGAAUAUGCAUUCUUUUCAAUUCCGUUUUCUUUUCAAAAACAGGACC